rnacentral:rRNA from 1 species
GAUGAACGCUGGCGGCGUGCCUAAUACAUGCAAGUCGAGCGAACGGACGAGAAGCUUGCUUUUCUGAUGUUAGCGGCGGACGGGUGAGUAACACGUGGAUAACCUACCUAUAAGACUGGGAUAACUUCGGGAAACCGGAGCUAAUCCCGGAUAAUAUUUUGAACCGCAUUGUUCAAAAGAGAAAGACGGCCUUGCUGUCUCUUAUAGAUGGAUCCGCGCUGCAUUGGCUAGUUGGUAAGGUAACGGCUUACCAAGGCAACGAUGCAUAGCCGACCUGAGAGGGUGAUCGGCCACACUGGAACUGAGACACGGUCCAGACUCCUACGGGAGGCAGCAGUAGGGAAUCUUCCGCAAUGGGCGAAAGCCUGACGGAGCAACGCCGCGUGAGUUAUGAAGGUCUUCGGAUCGUAAAACUCUGUUAUUAGGGAAGAACAUAUGUGUAAGUAACUGUGCACAUCUUGACGGUACCUAAUCAGAAAGCCACGGCUAACUACGUG